AAAAGUAGUGUUUUCUGUGGGAAUCUUGGUAUAAAAAAGGUUGAAAGGCAUUGGUGUAGAGGAUAUUCCGAUUUCUUCAACCCUUCACUUUCUGCUUCACAGCUUGCCUUUGAAUCUCUGGCUGUGAUUGGAAAUGCUCUAACCUUUCUGGAAGUGGGUCAGAUUGCGGUGUGCAGUUUUGGAGAGUCCGUAAAGCUGUUACACCCAUUCCACGAACAGUUCAGUGAUUACUCAGGGUCCCAGAUUCUGCGGCUCUGCAAAUUCCAACAAAAGAAAACCAAGAUUGCUCAGUUUCUAGAGUCUGUAGCCAACAUGUUUGCAGCCGCUCAGCAGCUCUCACAAAACAUCAGUCCAGGUGAGCUGCGUUCUUUGGU